rnacentral:tRNA from 1 species
GCUGGAGUGGCGCAAUCGGUAGCGCACCUGUCUUGUAAACAGGUGGUUGUGAGUUCGAGUCUCAUCUCCAGCU